UAAGAGUAUUUGAUAAGUAUUUUUGUGAUGGGCGUUGAAACUACCAAAAAUAAUUCAUACAAUAAAAUAACUCUAAACAGUAGUAAAGAGUAGCAGGGUCGAGUCUACAGGGAUCAAAUAUUAUGAUCAACUUUCGUGUUUUUCUUAUGAACAGAAUUUCGGUUGAGCCAAUAAUCGUGGAAAAAGUCGUGCCCAUGACUCCAAAUAGACCUGCUGAAAAAUAAAUUAAAUAAAUUAGGGGAGUUGACCAUGUCUAAAAAUUAAAUAAUUAAGGUAGCAUAAAUAAGCAAUUAAAGAGACCAAAAGUAAAAUUAAAUUAGAAAAUCAAUUUGAGUUUUGAUAAAAGAAAAAGUAAGCCUUAGCCCUAGACUUAGUGAAUUUCGAUCUCUAAACCGAUCCUCGAAAAUUAGUCUUCUCCCCCAAACAAUAAACUGAUUAUAGCGGCUAAAAACGUCUUAACUGUCAAUUCUUCCUCUCGCAAUUGGUCUCGAUACAACCUGCAAAUCAACUAUUACCGAUUAUCUAACUGAAAUACACGCGUUCUCGAUUCAAGAUUCCGAUAGCUUUGAGCUCUAAAGAAUCCAACUAGAAUUAACAGUCUCAACCGCGCGAGACGUUUAACCCUAUCACUAUCUCCUUUAAUUUGUUCUCGGAGAUCCGAAUACAGCACGACUGACUUGUUUCCCCAACUAUCCACAAACACGACUCCAACCCAACACGCUUUUUUAUUUGAAAUCGAGUUAACUUCAAGUGAUGAAUUUGUCAAUCUUGAGAUUUAGGGAAAAUAGUGAAUACCAAUUGGAAGGAUUUUUAGUACGGAUACAUAUCUCACGAUUAUUGACCGGAUAGAAUUCCGGCCUAAAACUAAGUUAGAAUUUAGUGAAGUAUGAAAUUAAUCAUGCUUUGGUUGGUUAUGGAGUGAAUUUGAAUGAAAAAUGGUGAAAGUUGGAAAUGGAAAGGAUUUGGAAAGCAAAUAAACUAAUUUGCAAAAAAAGAAAAAAAAAAAAAAAGGCAAAUGGAAAUGGAAUGGUAUCUACACGCAUGAAAUUGGAAGUGAAAAAUGGUUUAAUUUAAUUGUUUAACCAAAUUCAAAUGUGUUUUUAAGCUACUACAAAUGCCUUAAUUAUAUACAAAUGAUUUACUAAAUUUGGCCUAACUAUCCACUAUACAAAAUUAGAAUUAAAUAAAAAUAAAAUCAGAUUUUCUUCUAAUUUUAGGUUUUACAAAGUCAAAAGAAAUCUAAUAAGUUCUUGACUAUUUCUAAGUUUCUGAUUCGGCUCCACUUAAUUGACUGUGUUGCAAAUUAGUCAUUUUCUGCUUGUUUUUUACUCAUAGCAUCCCAAUUGCAUUCCUAAUAGGAUUAAAAUAUAAAAUUAUUAAUUUAGCAGGGAUCAAUUCAAGAAUUAACCGAUUUAAAGACAAAAAAUAAUGCAAAUUUAACAGGUUAUCAUUUUGGAUGAUUAUUCAGUGUUAAUUGUGAAUUUUAUGCUCAUAAUUCUUUAAAUUCAUGUUCUUAUGCUUAAGAGAGCAUUUGGGAGCAAAAAGAGUAAAAAAUAAGAGCAAAAAUCAAAAAAUCAAAGCAAGCUAAAGGAGCCACAUGGGCAACCACACAUCCAUUUCGAUUUCGCAAAUUUGCACUAUGAACUGCGAAAAAUCACAAUUUUUAGGUUUUUCGAGCAUUUUAAGACGUAUAUAUAUAUGACAAAAAUAAGAAGAUAGGAGGAAGCCGUCAUAGAAUACUCAAGAAAACAACUCGAAAAACACCAUUGAAGUUGAUUUGAAACAGAUUUUCGUCAAAAUUAAAGAUUCCCAAUUGAUUUCUUUAUUUCUUUCGGUUAUAUUGUAUUUUAGAUGUUUUUAUUUGCAAGUAUGAACAAGUUUUCUAAAUACCUAGGGGAGAUGAACCCUAUGAUAGAUUAUGUUGUUUGAUUUUUAUUUUGCACAAUAAAUACUUAGUUUCUUAUUCUCAAUUAUGUGCUUAAAAGUAGAUCUUGCGUAAUUAAGUGGAGUUACAAGCAAUCCUAGAUAUAGGACGACAUAAAUCUACAGGAUUAGAGUCAAAUCUAAUAAGAGAAUUCAUAGCAUGAGUUAAUGCAAUAUUAGAGGUUUUAAUUAGAAAGAAAUUUCAAUUAAUCAACCUAGAGUCAGUUGUUUUUAUUCUUGAAAAAGAUAUUAGCAUAAUUUAGAGAUUUCUACAGAUCAAGAUAUUAAGUAAAUAAAUUGUGUAGUUUAGAUUGAUAGUGACAGAUGAAAUCUAAGUGAAUUCUUUCUUAGGUAUUGUUUCGUUUCUUCGAUUGCUUUCAUGUUUUGUUCUUUAUUGUGUUCAUUAAUUAAUUAAUUUAAUUAAUUUUAGUUUUUAAUACAUCACUCAAACUAUUCGGUUAAAUAAAAAAAAAGAUGUUAAAUUCUAUAACUUUUAGCUAUAUUAUUAAUUGAUAGGUAUACUUGUUUUAGUCAAUUUUUUAGUUAGUUCCGACGCAUCAAUAUUAUCGAUAUAACACUAUUUUACGUUUACAUAUUAUAUAUAAACAACAAUGUUUAAUUUAAUAUACUUAUUUUUUAAAUGUAUAUAAUUGAAUAAAAAUCAAAAUUUUAUAUAUAUAACUGAACCAAAAUCAAGGUUUCGUGUAAUGUAAUUACUUUAAAUCAAAGUUUAUAUAUCGCAUUGCACAUGUAAAUUUAAAAAUUAUCCCUUUUUAAUGCUAUUAAACAAAACCAAAAUUUUUUAAUUAUUAAUUAAUCUAAUAUUUAUUUAAUAUCAAAUAUAGUAUAUGUAUAAUCCCGAUUCUGCCCGGGCAUCACAAACCCAAUAAGCCCAAUUUACCCUAGCCCAAAACCUUAACUAAAAAAAAAAACUAGCCUCUCCUCACCUCUCCUCACCCUAGGUCUUCAACCACCCUCUGCCGUUGCUCCUCUGACACCACCAACUCCUCUGCCACCGCCAUUGACCCCUAGGCCUGGAAAACAAAAACAAGAAGAAAGCAGAGAAGCAGGAAGCAAAAAAAAUAGAAAACUAAAGAUUGUAUUUGGCUAUAAAAAGAGCCUUAAACAAACAAUGUUUUUUUGGACACUGAUAUUGAAAUACAACAAAAAAAAGCAGUUAUAAAAAAGAAAAAGGUGAUUUCUAACAUCUUGUAUUUCUCUCAUCUCGAGUCUGUUUUGUUUUCUUCUUUGUUUGCAUGCGUUUUUAGUAUAAUAAAAAUAAAACAAAAGACUUACCAUUGAGAGUUUGUCUUCGAAAUCCUCAUCUUCUUCGUCUAAACCGAAGUUUAAGAGGGGAUUUCGGGGUUGAAAUUGGCAUACGUGGCUCUAAUCGGCCUAGAACGAGCUUUGCUCACCACCAAUUAUCGGUCACGGUAGUGUGUGGUGGCUGGGUAAAGGCUUCAUGGUUCAGCCGAAUGAAUAAGGGGGGAGAGACUUCAGUUUCUGUUUUUUCUUAUUUUUUCUUUUGAUUUGUUUAGAGUGGCUGAAUGAUAGUUUUAGGGUUUUUUUAAUUUGGUUUUGUAAGGAGAAUGAAACGGUGGCGUUUAGGGGUAGGGUGAUCUGCGGGUUGACCCAUUUCCAGAGCCGGGUCCGUGUCUCUCUGCUUCAAGUGGGAAAUUUGGACGGUUAACCCCUCUCUUUCGCGCCACAUUUCAG
rnacentral:lncRNA from 1 species